rnacentral:rRNA from 1 species
UACGUAGGGGGCUAGCGUUGUCCGGAAUCAUUGGGCGUAAAGCGCGUGUAGGCGGUCCGGUAAGUCCGCUGUGAAAGUCGGGGGCUCAACCCUCGGAUGCCGGUGGAUACUGUCGGGCUUGAGUACGGAAGAGGCGAGUGGAAUUCCUGGUGUAGCGGUGAAAUGCGCAGAUAUCAGGAGGAACACCAACAGCGAAGGCAGCACUCUGGGCCGGUACUGACGCUGAGGAGCGAAAGCAUGGGGAGCGAACAGG